CUUUGGAAAUGAUUCCACAUGGUCUCCUAUUUGCUGGAAGUAAACUCUACUUUGUGUGACAACUUCUUCUGAUAGAAGUCUGAUUUUAACCCACCAGGAAGUGAGCCCACUUUGCUUCAGCAACAAAAUUUGGUGACCCAGAUGGGACCUCUGUCCCUCUGAGGUUCCAGUCCUCCAGCCACCCAGGUUCCUAACGGCUGGAGAAUGAGCAGCAGCAGCUCCUCAGGCUAACUCAUUCAUGCUACUAGGGGGCGGGGACUGGACCUCACAAGGCAGCCUCCCUUCUCUGUGCUUGUGCCACCAGCUUGACAUUGCUGCCCCGUCAGGAGACCUAGCAACCACACUGAGAACCUUGCUCAGAGGAUCUCCUGAUGGAGGGGUAUGAGUCCCUUCUAGACAAAGGAUUGCACAGCCCGGAGGAACGGUAGCCAUUCAUCUGUUGACUAGUCAUGUCUGACCUGAUAAGAAUCCUUUUGAUGAAGAGGACUUGCUCCUCCAAGCCAGGAAACCUGAGGCCAAAAGAAGACCAUGUCAAAGUCUACCUUGCUCUCUGACCCCAGCUUCAGCCCCACCGUCGAGCCAAUCAGGGACCCCAGCAAGACUUCCACCAUUUUCUCCUGAUACCCAGACCUCACUUCCGCUCAAGCCAAAAGCUGUAACCCCAAAGUCCCUCACCC
rnacentral:lncRNA from 1 species